GCCUCGGUAAUGCCGGGCGACCCUCCACCUACCAAGCUCUAUCAUUUCAGGUCAACUUCAGACUGCUGUGCUGGCAGUGAGAAUUUCAAGCCAAUGGUUCUUAGGUUUCUGGGAUGUGUGGGAGUGGGACCCACUAAGCGAGACCACUUGGCUCCCUGGCUUCAGCCCCCUUUCCAGGGGAGUGAACGGUUCCAUCUCACUGGGGUUCCAGGUGCCACUGGGAGGAAGAAACUUAAGGCCCAACAAAUUUAUGCAUUGAGCCAAGGACAAGAAAGAAAUAGCAGAACAAGAUCUAAAAGACAAAUUCCUUCGACUUCAGAAUUCAUGACUUUUCUACUAGCCCAGGUUACAUUUUGUUUAACUGCCAAAUCACAGUGCAUUUGAUGUCACAGAUGUUGUGCUCUCAUUUUGCAGCCUUCUGUCCUCAGGAAGACUCAGGCAGCAUGUUCCUCUGUUAUUGAACGUACACAAUAUUGUAAUUAAUUGUUUACCUAUCUGGCACUCCCAAUAAACUGUACUUCUUAUGCAUAAGAA
ensembl:lncRNA novel transcript